UUUCGCCAAAUGGUAUAUUCAAGAAUGCCUCAUAAUUUUCAAAAAUAUUGACUUUGUUAGGUCUAAAGAUGAUAUUUGCUAAAAUUAUGGUAACUUAUGCAGGCGUACCGUGGUGAGCAUUCCCAACGGACCAUCUGCAUUAGCUGUGAAGGAAGCAGCAUGGGGUUUGGCUCGCUACGCUGCAAUUUCUCAGGACAGUGGUUUGGUCCCAAUUGUGGAGCCAGAGAUUUUGUUAGACGGUGAACAUGGAAUCGACAGGACUUUUGAGGUAGCCCAAAAGGUUUGGGCUGAGGUCUUCUUCUAUUUGGCUGAGAACAAUGUCAUGUUCGAGGGUAUCCUCUUAAAGCCGAGCAUGGUCACUCCUGGUGCUGAAUGCAAAGACAGGGCCACUCCUCAGCAAGUCGCGGACUAUACUCUAAGUCUCCUUCAAAGGAGGAUUCCCCCAGCUGUCCCUGGAAUCAUGGUAAGUCUCCUUUAUUUCUAUGAAUUUAGCUAGUUUUUGACUGAGCACGAAAUUUAACAAACAAAGAGAGAUUGUCAGUACAUUGCCCAAGUAGCCUUAAAACGUGUGCUCUUAAACAUUUUAUGACAUUUCUAUGACUAUAUGAGCAUUGAGAAGUUAUUAAAGACUUAUUAUUUUCGAAAGAGAUUAAAAAGGAAAGUACCGUAUAAGAUGGAACUGAGUCAACAUAUAGAAUAUGAAUCAUUAGUAUCUGACUUCCCGUGAUAUAUAUAGAUGAAUAAGUGAAUAAACACUCAACGAGACUAACAUAAACAUUGGCACUAGGUAUGAAAUUACUAUUUAACUGGUGCUAAUUGACUCGAUAUUGUUGCAGUUCUUGUCUGGUGGGCAAUCAGAAGUUGAGGCUACAUUGAACUUGAAUGCCAUGAACCAAGCUCCAAACCCAUGGCACGUAUCGUUCUCAUACGCGAGGGCUCUUCAGAACACUUGCUUGAAAACAUGGGGAGGACAACCCGAGAACGUUAAGGCUGCUCAGGAUGCUUUACUUACCAGGGCCAAAGCCAACUCUCUUGCUCAGCUCGGAAAAUACACCGGCGAGGG
rnacentral:lncRNA from 1 species